AAUCAACGCUGGCGGCGUGCCUAACACAUGCAAGUCGAACGCGAAAGGGGAGCAAUCCCUGAGUAGAGUGGCAAACGGGUGAGUAACGCGUGGGUGACCUGCCUUCGAGUGGGGGAUAACUUUCCGAAAGGGAAGGCUAAUACCGCAUGACAUACCGUGUUUCGAUACACGGAUAUCAAAGCUGGGGAUCGCAAGACCUGGCGCUUGAAGAGGGGCCCGCGUCCGAUUAGCUAGUUGGUGAGGUAACGGCUCACCAAGGCUCCGAUCGGUAUCCGGCCUGAGAGGGCGGACGGACACACUGGAACUGAGACACGGUCCAGACUCCUACGGGAGGCAGCAGUGGGGAAUUGUUCGCAAUGGGCGAAAGCCUGACGACGCAACGCCGCGUGGAGGAUGAAGAAUUUCGGUUCGUAAACUCCUUUCGACCGAGAUGAAAACCCAGGGACUUAAUACAUCCUUGGACUGACAGUAUCGAGAGAAGAAGCCCCGGCUAACUCUGUGCCAGCAGCCGCGGUAAUACAGGGGGGGCAAGCGUUGUUCGGAAUUACUGGGCGUAAAGGGUUCGUAGGUGGCCAACUAAGUCAGACGUGAAAUCCCUCAGCUUAACUGGGGAACUGCGUCUGAUACUGGUUGGCUUGAGUGCAGGAGAGGAAUGCGGAAUUCCAGGUGUAGCGGUGAAAUGCGUAGAUAUCUGGAGGAACACCGGUGGCGAAGGCGGCAUUCUGGACUUUAACUGACACUGAGGAACGAAAGCCAGGGGAGCAAACGGGAUUAGAUACCCCGGUAGUCCUGGCCCUAAACGAUGAAUGCUUGGUGUGGCGGGUAUCGAUCCCUGCCGUGCCGAAGUUAACGCAUUAAGCAUUCCGCCUGGGGAGUACGGUCGCAAGGCUGAAACUC
rnacentral:rRNA from 1 species